AGAGUUUGAUCCUGGCUCAGAACGAACGCUGGCGGCAGGCUUAACACAUGCAAGUUGAACGUGAAUAUGGUGGUGCUUGCACCAUUAUAUGAAAGUAGCGCACGGGUGAGUAACACGUGGGAACGUACCUUAGAGUGGGGGAUAACAGUUGGAAACGACUGCUAAUACCGCAUAUGCCUUGAGGGGUAAAGAUUUAUCGCUUUAAGAACGGCCCGCGGAAGAUUAGGUAGUUGGUGGGGUAAAGGCCUACCAAGCCUACGAUCUAUAGCUGGUCUGAGAGGACGAUCAGCCACAUUGGGACUGAGACACGGCCCAAACUCCUACGGGAGGCAGCAGUGAGGAAUAUUGGGCAAUGGGGGCAACCCUGACCCAGCCAUGCCGCGUGAGUGAAGAAGGUCUUCGGAUUGUAAAGCUCUUUCGGACGUGACGAUGAUGACGGUAGCGUCUAAAGAAGCACCGGCAAACUUCGUGCCAGCAGCCGCGGUAAUACGAAGGGUGCGAGCGUUGUUCGGAAUUACUGGGCGUAAAGGGAGUGUAGGCGGAUAAGUAAGAUAGCGGUGAAAUGCCGGGGCUCAACCCCGGAAUUGCCAUUAUGACUAUUAAUCUAGAGUAAUGGAGAGGAUAGUGGAAUACCCAGUGUAGAGGUGAAAUUCGUAGAUAUUGGGUAGAACACCAGUGGCGAAGGCGACUAUCUGGCCAUUUACUGACGCUGAGGCUCGAAAGCAUGGGGAUCAAACAGGAUUAGAUACCCUGGUAGUCCAUGCUGUAAACGAUGAAUGCUUGAUGUUGGAUAUAAAUUCAGUGUCGAAGUUAACGCGAUAAGCAUUCCGCCUGGGGAGUACGGCCGCAAGGUUAAAACUCAAAGGAAUUGACGGGGACCCGCACAAGCGGUGGAGCAUGUGGUUUAAUU
rnacentral:rRNA from 1 species